AUUGAACGCUGGCGGCAGGCCUAACACAUGCAAGUCGGGCGGUAGCACAGAGAGCUUGCUCUCGGGUGACGAGCGGCGGACGGGUGAGUAAUGUCUGGGAAACUGCCUGAUGGAGGGGGAUAACUACUGGAAACGGUAGCUAAUACCGCAUAACGUCGCAAGACCAAAGAGGGGGACCUUCGGGCCUCUUGCCAUCAGAUGUGCCCAGAUGGGAUUAGCUAGUAGGUGGGGUAAUGGCUCACCUAGGCGACGAUCCCUAGCUGGUCUGAGAGGAUGAACAGCCACACUGGAACUGAGACACGGUCCGGACUCCUACGGGAGGCAGCAGUGGGGAAUAUUGCACAAUGGGCGCAAGCCUGAUGCAGCAAUGCCGCGUGUGUGAAGAAGGCCUUCGGGUUGUAAAGCACUUUCAGCGAGGAGGAAGGCGGUGAGGUUAAUGACCUCAUCGAUUGACGUUACUCGCAGAAGAAGCACCGGCUAACUCCGUGCCAGCCGCCGCCGUAA
rnacentral:rRNA from 1 species